CCAGUGCAGAAAGGUGGGGGCUGUAGCUUUGCCCUUGAAAUGGGCCUUCUCUUGGGACUCCUUGUUUUAUGGGAAACCGUCACCCUGAUGGAGGGAACAAUCACACAGAAAAUCAACAGGUGCUGGGAAAAUCCUGACAAAGAUCAGGAACCCUCCAAAAGAACAUGUCACAUGCUAGCUCUUCAGAGAAUCAGGCCAGUCCCGUCAUGGCACAAAUGAGGAAACUUGGCCCUGAGAAGCACUGUGAGCUGACCAGGCCACACAGCUACCUAGAGGCAAAGCAGAACUGGAUGCCGUUAGCCUUGUCCUUGGACUAGCACUUGGGCCCACCCCUCAGCUCUUCUCUUAACAACAAAUGGCCAUGGAUCAAACAGAGAACAAAUGAGAAAACUCUGAGCCCAACAGGAUGACACAGCCCUGCUUCACCCUAAACAAAGAGAAGAUGAAUCAACAACGUUUAAAGCACAGGGCCUGUCUCCCAGAGUGACGAAGUUAAAGAAAAAAUUCCUUAAGCCCACACUGAUUACUUUUAAUACCCUUUCAGAAUUCCUAAGAAACUAAACUUUUGUUUUCGAACGUACAAACAAACUUUGAAGUUGUUUGAAGAUAAAAGAUACUUUAUCAGCCAAAGCUGGUGACGGGAAGGCUUACAGGUAUUUUCAAACAAACUUUGGAGAGUUCAUCACAAUUUGAAAGGAUUCUGCUAAUAUACCACAGACGUAUUUGGCAUUACCUAGCUGAGACAACACACACCAGCCUUAGCAUGUUUCAAGACUGCUCACCUAAUGUGCAGAACUACCCAGAUAGCAUGGGUUCUAAUCCCUGUUUCAUCAUCUACCAGCUGUAGGCAAGUCACCUACUUCUCUAUGCUUUGGUUUCCUCAUCUGUAAAUAGGCACAAUAAUAAUAGUCACCAAUUCAUAGGGCUGUUGCGAAGAUUAAAUGAGUUAGUGUAAGGGCUUAUAGCUGUGGUUACACUUUGUUCGUAUUAGCUAUCAUUAUUAGGUCUGUAAAUCUCAAUGGGAAGAAAUAUCUAUCCUGGCUGUAUCCAGCGUGACUGGGCCUUCUCAGUCACUGGCCACUCACCUGCUAUUAAGUACGGUUUCAGGAUAAGUGAUAACCAUCACCUGGGAGAUGGUUAGGAAGGCUGAAUCUGAGGGCCUACCCCAAACCUACGGGGGAGAAUUUUCAUUUCAACAAGAUUUCCAGGGAAUUUGGGCGAGGACUAAAGUUUGAGGAGCUUUCGGACAGGCUGCUGAAAUAGGCACUGACGGCAUCUCCAAGUGGAGGGGCUUUGGUUGCAGCCAGGACCCUGCUGGCCUUCCUGGUCCUGAGACUAGGGCAUCAGAGUGCUGUGUUGUCUGUCUCCUGCCUGCUGGAGAUGCUUGGCCCUGAAGCCUUCCCACCCUGAUUCUUGCUUUCUGCACGUUUGGAUGUCACUUUCCAUUUCCCUUUCUCUGAUUGGGUCCAACAAGUGGGGACACGUAAAAGACCUUGGCCUUGUCUUGAGUUUACCUGGAACAGAGAGUUAGUAAUGCAUCUUCUGUGGAGCCCCCAGCUUUGCCUAAGGGAGAACUUCUACAAAUUCCUGUGCAUGUAGAACUCAAGGGAACUUCUCCAAUUGUCAUCCAAGGUCAGCUUGCCCUGCCACUCAGACAGUCAUGGGGCUGGAUGACUAAUUCUGAGAAGUUGGGGCAAGUUGCUCCUCUCAGCGGAGCAGAGAGGAAACCAUCUACCCAUUAAUUCUCCCAGUUUCAUUUUUUAUAAGUGACUGUACUUAACUGGCUCAAACAGUUCCACUUGCUCUAGAAGUCAGGAAAGCCUUCGUGUGGCCACUAAAUAUUUGUGUGACCUCAGGUGUGUCUCCAUGUCUAGGCUCACAUGGGAUUAGAUGUAAAAUGAGGGAAGUUCGCUAAGAUCCCUUCUCUCUGUUCAGCAGGUAAAGUAAAUAUGCCUAAAUUGGUAAAUGCAGGUCAAGUUAACAAGGACCUGAAAGGCCAAGCUGUGAAAUUCAGACUUCACACUCUACACUCGCACUGUCCAAUGUAGUAACCACUAGCCUCCUGAGGCAAUGAACACUUGAGAUGUGGCUACUCUGAACCGAGACACGCUGCCAAGUGUAAAACACACACCAGAUUUUGAGACGUUGUAUGACAAAAAGAAAGUAAAAUAUCUCAUUAACAUUAUGUUAAGUACAUGUUGAAAAUACAAUAUUUUCGAUAUGUUG
rnacentral:lncRNA from 1 species